ensembl:lncRNA
CAGCUUUCAUUCUUUGGUUUAUUUAGAUUCGCUUCAGAAAAAAAAAAUAAUAAUAAUAGUAAUUACUUUCCAGAAGUUUGAAAUUUCCUUCAUAAACUCCAUCCGUAUAAAAAUACAAACAAUAAUAAUAAAAUCAAGACAUUCAGGGGCCCAUCCAAUCUCAUCCCACAGCAGGAACUGCUGCUGAUUAAAAACAAAAAAAAACCCAAACAAACAAAAAAAGGAGGAAAAAAACCCACCCACUCCACCAUUCCAGAGAGCCAGAACCAAACCAAGGGAGCUUUGCAGGACACAGUAUAGCUCUGCCCUGGCUGUGGCUCACAGACCUCUCCUUCAGCUCCUCAGCACACACCAGUACUGGGAUGGGGAGGGGCCUUUCCCCUCUCUUGAACAUUUUCAUGCUUUUCUUUUUGUGCUUCACAGGACCCCAGGUGUUGAGGAAAGGAUUAACCCAUCCGGUGCCCCUGGUUAGAAGGGGUCUGCUCCUAAAUCACCUUCUCCAGCUGUUCUGACCAGAGUGAUCUCUGACUUGCUAAUCUUGCUGUGUGUGCUGGCCCUGGUUGAGGGGAGUAAGGGGAGAUCAGCUCUGUGGCCAUAGACCCUUAUAAUCUAAUGUAGAAGUGCAGUUAUCAUCUUGAUACGCAUAAGAAGAGAGCAGUUUGCUUGUAGUGAGGAGCAUCAGCAGCUGAGUGACGGCGAUGAAGAAGCAGCUGCUCUGGACUGCGGAGACGGAGUCAGGGGUUGUCGAGGCUGUGGUUGGAUCUGUUCGUGGAACUGAAAGAAACCCGCGGGGUAAAUUAGAAGUGCAGAGGACCAGCUACAGACCUACGUGCUGUCAUUUCUCAGAAAUGUGUGUCAGACCUGUGGUACAGAGUGGGAUGCAUGAAUACAUCCAACCUAUCGACACCAUUGCCCACUAAACCACUUCCCUGUGUACUCUACCUGCCCUUUCCUCAAACAGCUCCAAGGAUGAUGAUUGCACCACCUCUCUGGGCAGCCCGUUCCAGUGCCUGACCACUCUUCUGGGAGAGAAAUUCUUCCUAAUAUCCAACCUGCAACUUGUCUGUGGCUGUUUAGUGUCCAUUAAAGGUGAAAGAAAGCUAGGAAGUGUUCAAAUUCAGCAUUAAUCCUGAAGACCUUCUCACCACUCUGGUGUCUUUGCCUUCUCUCCUGACUACUGGCGAGAUGGAAAACCCAACACCACGGCACAUUGCUCAGUGCACUGCUUGCCCCACUGUGGGACCACCCCACUGCACCCUAUUUAUUUACCUUCCUGCAGAAUCGCCGUCUUGAACUCAGUGAUAUUGUUUUCAUAGAUGAUAUAUGCCCUAUGGAGGGAGGGAAGAGAGGAAAAAGGGCAUAAAGAGCAAAUUAUGAGAUGGGAUGUGUGCUGUGACCACCUGUUCCUUGUAACAACAGUGUUCCUUGCAAUCACUAGAGUAAUGAGCUCUUGCAUUCUUCCUUCUGGCAGAUAAGGCCAAUCAGGUUAAUGGCUAUGGUUUCCUUUGGCAAAUAUUUCCCAUGGAUGCAGCUCCAUUAGUGUUCAUGGAAAUAAGGAGUGUUCAAUCCCUUAAUUUCCAUUGAGCUAAUUUACA